rnacentral:misc_RNA from 1 species
AAUGCUAUAAUAGUAGUGUA